AUGUGUGCUGCUGAGAAGGAUGUACAGGGGCACCUGCAGCCAAAUCCAAGCCGCCUCAGCAACUUCAAGUCUGUCAGCGUGCUGAGGUCACAGAAACAAGAAAAGCAGCUUCAGACUUCAGAGUGUUGUUUACAGUUUUCUGUCAUCAUGAUCUCCCUUGAAGUUUAUCACUAUUACCCAAGCAUUAAGUCCACAGUACUGUAAUGAUGAUUCUGACUUUGGUCACGGUUGCAUAAUAUUUUAAUAAAAUACAAUUAUUUUUUGUAAUUCAUAUUUUGUCUGUUAAUCAAAAAUUUACUUUGUCCAUCCAUCCGCUUCCGCUUAUCCUUUUCAGGGUCGCGGGGGGGCGCUGGAGCCUAUCCCAACUGUCAUAGGGCGAGAGGCGGGGUACGCCCUGGACAGGUCGCCAGUCUGUCGCAGGGCUAACACACAGGGACAGACAACCAUUCGCACUCACAUUCACUCGCACAUUCACACCUAGUGGUAAUUUGGAUUAUCCAAUU
rnacentral:lncRNA from 1 species